AGUUGUGGGGAGCUAAGCUGAGAGGUCCAGUACACCAAGAUGCUGGUUGGGUUGGGAGUGCUAUGGACUAGGUCAAGUGCCUGUUGAACAGCUAAAUGUGGUUGACUAAACAAGGAGCAUGGGGCAGUUGUGCAGAGAGAAGCAGACAUGUAACAUGGAGGAGUCAUAUUAACGACAAACUUCUAGAACAGAGUUUCAUGCUACGUUUAGACAUUUCCCGAAGUUCCAGGCACAGUGAGCUCUAUUUGUACUUGAAUUCCUAUCCUUGGAUUUAUGCUUCCUGAUCUGGCUUCAUUUGGUGUCUGUUUCUUGCAUCCAAAAGAGGCCCAACCCAAGCAACCCUUUACAUAGAUUUCAUUUAAUUUGUGCUUCGUCCCCUCGGAGGUCACAUGUACCACGGAGCCCAUUUGGAGGUCAGAGGACAACUUGCGGGUGUUGGUUCUCUCUUUCCACCAUGCAGGUCUUGGAAUGAAAUUCAGAUCUGGUAAGCAGGAGACCCUUCAAGAGUGUUCCUUUGCCAUGCUGUCAUUAGUCUUUGAGUACUUCCUGCAACUCCUGUUUCUUCUAGCAUAAAAUGGUAUUUAUAAGUAUGGCUACCAGCCCUCUUCAAAGAAGACUCUCUUUACAGCAAAUGUAGACCAUCACAGAAAAGCUGGGAUUAAAGGCAUGCGUCACCAACGCCCGGCGGCAUGCAUGUAUUCUAAGCAUCUAUGUCCCUACGCUCUUCCCCUCCUUCCCGAUGGCCAACUCCCAGGUGGGACUCAAGCUGGAACAGCCUCUAUCUGCUUUGCCUGGAGAAACCGUUUUGAAAUAGGAGGCAGGGCGUUUCUGCCUCCAAAUUUUGCAGCAAAGUUUUGUCUACUCACCUCUGACUCAUGUCCGGAUGCAAAGGUUGAUGUCCAGGUAUUAGCCAACCCCGCCCCCCAACGCCCAACCCUGUGCUUAGACUGUCUCCAAGGGAAGGUGUCCCUGAACUUCAAGAUUCUGUGAAGAAGCAAGAUUCAGCUGAUGCUGUCUGAGAGCAAGAUGGAAAAACACUGUGGCUGCAGCCCAAGAGUAUAACUUUUCAAUGAUGAAAAAAGAAGCUGAAAUCAUGGCCCACUUCCUUCCAGGGGUCGUUGCUCUAGAGAUGAUUAUCACAGUCAGAGUCUUCCACUUUGGUGCAAAACUCCAAGAAGGGGAAACUUGUGCAGCCAGAGAUAGAAGAGCAUGAACACUGUCCCCACACCCUUCUUUAGCUUGUGUCAAGUUGACACACAAAACCAGCCAGUGCAUCCUCCAACACUCCUAUGGCAGCCAGAUACCAGUGAUGCUGCAGAGGCUGGGAUAAAUCAACAGUCCAAUACAUCUCCAUUGUCAGAGAGCCCGAGGUUCAGUCUUGGCAUGGGCCUGGAGCUGAAGUGUGAUAUCCAUUCUCCCAGCUUAGGUCAGCAGGAACCUCAGCAAGGUUCUCCUUCCCUUCCCAAUACCAGUGCUGCUGCCAACCCAUGGAAAGCAUCAACAAAGGAACGAAGAACUACAUUACUCAACUUAGCACAGUUGUACUACAAACCAAAUCUAAAGAGCAAUGUGUGUAAACUUCACUGUGGCAACACCUUCUCCAAAACUAGUUUCAUAGGUUUGAACUGGGAUUGAAAAUUUCACCCUCCUCAUCUGCACACUUUGCUUUAUCAAUCACCAUAGAUGUGGACUGAUGUGAUUUUAAAGUCUACUGUUCUUUUAGUAAACCUUAUUUUUCUGAUAUUGUCGAUUUUUUACUUAAAAAAUUUAGUCUUCACUCUUUUAUAAAUAUCUCACAAUAAUCUUGUUUUAGUCUUUAUUUUGUUCAGCUGUUUUGGAUUUUUCUGUAUGUUUCUGUACCCAUUCUGUUGUAUACUUACUACUAUUCUUCCUACACUGAAUCCAUAUGCUUUCCCUCUCAUUUGUACUUCAUUACAUCUCUCCAUCUUCCUCAUCUACCUUUUUACUUCUUAAUUAUAAUAUUCCAUAGCUUUAAUACUCUCUAAACUCGGUAGACCCUAAUCAUAUCCCAACUUCUCCCCUCCCAGGUAUUUCCAUCCUUAAUUUUGUUGUCAGUUGAUUUAAUGCUAACCCCUAUCUUACUCAGCCUAAUUGAAAUACAUACUGACAACCUUCCACAACUUAGCACUAUGUGAAAACUGCCUUCAACUGAAAAAAGGCAGAUGGUAAAAAAUUCUAGUCAGUGAAAUGACUCAAAUGCCAAAAUAUAAGAAACACUAAAAAAGCCAAAGCAACAUGACUAUCCCUAAAAGUACCAAUCUCACAGUAAUGAAGCCCAAUGAGAAUGAAUUAGACAAAGAAUUUAAGUGAAUGAUGAUCUCCUGAGCAAAUUGGGAGCAUGGGGGAGGGGAGAAGAGGAGGAGUGAGGAGGACAUAAAAAAGCAGGAAGGUUGUGUAGGGGGAAGAAUAGAGGAGAGCAAAAUAAGAGAUACCAUUAGAGAGGGAGCCAGGAUAGGUUUAAAGAGAAAUCAGGCACUAGGGAAAUGUCCAGAGAUCUACAAGGAUGACACCAACUAACCAUCCAAGCAACAGUGGAGAGGCUACCUUAAAUGCCUUCUCCUGAUAAUGGGAUUGAUGAUUAAGUUGUAUGCCAUUCUAGAGCCUUCAUCCAGCAGCUGAUGGAAGUAGAAGCAGAUACCCACAGCUAAACACUGAACUGAACUGGAAUCCAGUUGCAGAGAAGGAGGAGUGAUGAGCAAAGUGAACAAGACCAGGCUGGGGAAACCCACAUAAACAGCUGACCUGAACAAGGGGAAGCUCUUGGCUCCCAGAUUGAUCACUGGGAAACCAGCAUGGGACUGAUCCAGACCCCAUAAAUGUAGGUGCCAGUGAGGAGACCUCAGAAAUGUAUGGUGCCUCUGGUAGUAGAUUAGUACUUAUCCCUAGCAUAGGAAUGGACUUUGGGAGCCCAUUUCACAUAAAGGGAUACUCCCUCAGCCUAGACACAUUGGGGAGGGCCUAGACCCUAUCCCAAAAGAUAUGACAGACUCUGAAGACCCCCCAUGGAAGAUCUCGCUCUCCCUGGGGAGCAGAAAUGGUAUGGGAUAUUUAGGGUGUUAGUGGGGGGUAGGGGAGGAGUUGAGGGAGAGGGAACUUGGAUUGACAAGUAAAACAAUCUUGUUUUAAUUUAAAUAAAAAUGGAGGAAAAAAGAAUAUUUGGCAAAGUCAAAUAGGAUACAAUUAAACUCCCAAAUGAGUUAAAAUAGAAUAUAAACAAGUAGAUGAGUAAAUAAAUACAGGAUAUGAAACAAGAAUUCAACAAAGAGACAAAAUAACAAAAUAUCAAAUUGACAGUUUAAAAAUGAAAAGCUUAGUACUUAAGUAAAAAACUCAUUUAAAAAACCUCACUUAUGGAAUGGAUCAAGUGGAAGAUAUAUCAUCAAGGUCAGACAAGGUUGAACAUUCAAACAUUAACAAAGAUUAUUGUUAAUAUAAUAUGGAUGCAAUAGAUGAUAUCUUAUGGGGCACCAUAAAAAAUCCAAAUAUAAGAAUCUUAGGAAUAAAAGAAGAUGAAGAAAAAAAGGUGAAGAACUUCAGGCUAAAUGCUUAAACAAUAUAUUAAACAAAAUAAUAGCUGAAACAUUUCUAAAUCUAGGGGUAGGUGGGGGAUGUGGGAGGAUGGGAGGGAGAG
ensembl:lncRNA